AGGCCAGAAGAAGAGGAAAUAAGAGAGAAGGGAAGAAGAAUGUGUAGGAGAGGAGAAAUACUGAUAAGGCUUCCCAGGCUGCUGGGGAAAGGAGGCAGAUGAUCCCUGACCUGGUCCUGAUUUCUCUGGAUGAUCUGUGCACCUCCAGGACUUCCCGUCUUGGCAGGAGACUUUCAGCACCCUGCAAAGCUGAUAUCCCUGGACACGGCAUCCACAGUAUCACAGUAUCACAGUAUCAUCAAGGUUGGAAGAGACCUCAUAGAUCAUCAAGUCCAACCCUGAUAAAGACAGCAGCAUCAAGGCAGAGAUCAUCCAUUGCCAUGAGAACAAAGGUUAGAGAAACCUAUUACCCCAGAGACUGGGAAGAUUUAUCAUCUUCCCUCAAGCUGGGAAGAUUCCAGCCUCACAGAGUCCACAGACAGAGCCUCUGAAGUCUGGACAUUGGGAACAAACUGUGACACAACCCUGGAGGGUGAUUAAUAAUUAAUAGCAACACUUAUGAGUAAAGCUUUAAUACCUCUGUAAUAUAAGUUAUCUCUGCCUUAGAGCAGAAAGAGUUUCAGCCCCUCUGCUGGGCAAAUAGCAUAAGUUCCCAAGCGGCGCUAAGCCAAAGGGAAAAUUCCUCUCUCUGUGUAUAGUUUGAAUGUUUUGAUUGUUAAAUAACCAAAUCCCUGUAUAUAAUCUAUCCUAAAUUGUUUUCAUAACUUUGCACAGAAAUAAAUUUUAAUACACAGUGGU